AUUGAACGCUGGCGGCAUGCUUUACACAUGCAAGUCGAACGGCAGCGGGUCCUUCGGGAUGCCGGCGAGUGGCGAACGGGUGAGUAAUGCAUCGGAACAUACCCAGUCGUGGGGGAUAACGUAGCGAAAGUUACGCUAAUACCGCAUACGUCCUGAGGGAGAAAGCGGGGGAUCGCAAGACCUCGCGCGAUUGGAGUGGCCGAUGUCUGAUUAGCUAGUUGGUGAGGUAACGGCUCACCAAGGCGACGAUCAGUAGCGGGUCUGAGAGGAUGAUCCGCCACACUGGGACUGAGACACGGCCCAGACUCCUACGGGAGGCAGCAGUGGGGAAUUUUGGACAAUGGGGGCAACCCUGAUCCAGCCAUGCCGCGUGCAGGAAGAAGGCCUUUGGGUUGUAAACUGCUUUCGGACAGAAAGAAAUCGCCAUUCCUAAUACGAGUGGUGGAUGACGGUACUGUAAGAAGAAGCACCGGCUAACUACGUGCCAGCAGCCGCGGUAAAAC
rnacentral:rRNA from 1 species